GAAGUGCGAUAAGCAAUGCGAAUUGCAGAACCGUGAGUCAUCAGAUUUUUGAACGCAUCUGGCGCCGGCUGGGUCUCCAGUCGGCAUGCUUGAUUUCAGAUGCCCUUCUCUUGCCAAGCACGAAAGCACUCUGCGCUCUGCGAGCGGCUUCGACUCGAUCGAGGGCCGCACUCAAUGCAGCAGUCACAUUGCUCACAAUGUGAACUCAUUGAGAGCAGAGGCAGUGCAGCCCCCGGGCUGCCAGUGCUUAGUCACGCAAACUUUCUUUGCAUCUGAAAUCAAGCAGGACCACCCGCUGAACUUAA
rnacentral:misc_RNA from 1 species